UACAGAGGUGUCAAGCGUUGUUCGGAAUUACUGGGCGUACAGGGCGCGUAGGCGGCCUUCUAAGUCAGACGUGAAAUCCCCCGGCUUAACCUGGGAACUGCGUCUGAUACUGGAGGGCUUGAGUGCGGGAGAGGGAUGUGGAAUUCCAGGUGUAGCGGUGAAAUGCGUAGAUAUCUGGAGGAACACCGGUGGCGAAGGCGGCAUCCUGGACCGACACUGACGCUGAGGCGCGAAAGCGUGGGGAGCAAACAGG
rnacentral:rRNA from 1 species